rnacentral:lncRNA from 10 species
UUGGUGCCCCAACCUCAUAUAUGCAGAAGAAGCUGAACUUCAGACUGUGAAAGGUAGAAAGGGCCUUAGGAGAUCAUCUGGCCCAUGCUGCUUAAAUUGGGAAGGAAGAACCGCAGUCCAGACAGGAGGCUUGCACAGGCUGUGCACAGCCUUGCAGAUGAUAAAUGGCAUAACUGGGACAAAUGCAGCAUCACACAGAAAUGGAAAUUCUCCCACUCCAUAACAAAAUUACAGUCCAUGGCUGACCUUCCACUGAUGAAGGAAUUCAUGAAAUCAACAUUUCCCCCUGCUGCUGGCCCAGCACAAUUGUGACCCACUCUUGAGUAUAUAGGCAAGGCAUGUACAAAGCUGAGUAACUGCAUCUGUCUUCUAAGCUAGUCAGGAUCAAGUCUUUGUAAGCACUGCCAAAGGUACGCCGGGUGGGGUGGGGUGGGGGUAAUACACAGCUCGGGCUUUGUAGUCCUGAUAAGGGGUGUCUGUGAGUUCAUUAGCUUCUUUCCUGUCUAUAUAAAACAAGUUUCAUAUUCGGCUACUCAACUUCCAUAAUUUUUCUGGUGGGGUGUUGCUGGAGCAGAUGAGAUAAAAUCCCUAAACUAUUACUAGAACUAUCAGCAUAAAAAGUAUGAAAGAUGAAUUUUCCUUUGAAUUUUCUCUUCAAACAGCUGAAAGGAAAAACAAAACAGACUUAGCCCAAACCCAUCUUUACAGGCUAAAGGUUAAGUGCCCUCCAGUACAUCCAAUUGCACUCAGAAGAUCUUUGCCCUAUUUUCACAAAAAUGAAGGAAUCUGCCAAACCUAAGUUUUAAACACAGGCAAGCAUGGAGUGCUCUGAGCAAGGGCAAUCAGUUUUCUGUGUCCGGACAUAGUAGAAGAACCCUCUAUCCAGAGUGACAUUACAUACCUAAGUUAGACAUACAGGGGAAACAAGUUCACAUGACUGUCCAAUAGAGAGCAGCCCUUCUUCUGUCCCAAACCUGAAAUUCAUUAGUGUGUGUUUAAAGACUGAGCCAAGUCACCUCCAGGGCAGUGAACCUUGUCUCAGGGACCAAUGAGAUGAAAUGUACAAGCUCAAAUUGAAAACAUUUGUGUACUGCAGUCUUUCCAGGAAGUGUUCUCUAACCACUGAGCUAAACACAGAAGAAUGUAUAAAUAUGUAUGCUCUGCC